GGGGAAGUAAACCUGUUUUUAUUUUCUUGGAAACGAGUACCCUCUUCCUCCGUGUGAAGAAAAGGAAGAAAUAAAUCAAUCAAAUUACGAGAAGCCUCAUAAAGCGCUUCCUUAGGGGUUAAACUUCCAUUGGUCCAUAUUUCUAGAAAAAGUAUCUCAUAUUUUGCAUUUCCAUUCCCACAAGCAAAAAUACUAUAAUUCACAUUUCAUUCCCACAAGCAAAAAUACUAUAAUUCACAUUUCGAACAGGCAUGGAUACAGCAUCUAUAGGAUAACUUCCAUCUUGAGUGUUCUUU
rnacentral:lncRNA from 1 species